rnacentral:rRNA from 1 species
AUUUAACGCUAGCGGCAUGCUUUACACAUGCAAGUCGAACGAGUGGCGGACGGGUGAGUAAUAUAUCGGAACGUGCCUAGUAGCGGGGGCUAACUACUGGAAAGAGUAGCUAAUACCGCAUACUAUGGGAGCGGCCGCUUUCGGUUUAGCUAGUUGGUGGGGUAACGGCUCACCAAGGCAACGAUCCCUAGCUGGUUUGAGAGGACGACCAGCCACACUGGGACUGAGACACGGCCCAGACUCCUACGGGCGGCAGCAGUGGGGAAUUUUGGACAAUGGGGGCAACCCUGAUCCAGCCAUCCCGCGUGUAUGAGAAGGCCUUCGGGUUGUAAAGUACUUUGGGCAGAGAAGCGGUAUCUGCAGAAUAAGCACCGGCUAACUACGUGCCAGCAGCCGCGGUAAUUC